AUUGAACGCUGGCGGCGUGCUUAACACAUGCAAGUCGAUCGGUAACAGGUGUAGCAAUACAUGCUGACGAGAGGCGGACGGGUGAGUAAUGCUUGGGAAUCUGCCUAUUAGUGGGGGACAACCCGGGGAAACUCGGGCUAAUACCGCAUACGCUCUACGGAGGAAAGCCGGGGACCGCAAGGCCUGGCGCUAAUAGAUGAGCCCAAGUCGGAUUAGCUAGUUGGUAGGGUAACGGCCUACCAAGCGACAAUCCGUAGCUGGUCUGAGAGGACGACCAGCCACACCGGAACUGAGACACGGUCCGGACUCCUACGGGAGGCAGCAGUGGGGAAUAUUGGACAAUGGGGGCAACCCUGAUCCAGCGACGCCGCGUGGGUGAAGAAGGCCUGCGGGUUGUAAAGCCCUUUCGGUGGGGAAGAAAAGUCUCGACCUAAUACGUCGGGACCUUGACCGUAACCCACUAAAGAAGCACCGGCUAACUCUGUGCCAGCAGCCGCCGUAAC
rnacentral:rRNA from 1 species